rnacentral:misc_RNA from 1 species
CAUCACGAAGUCAACGCUACAAGCACGAAGACGAACCACACAAACAGGAGACCACGACUCUAAGUCCGCUCGAUUGCCUCUCCCGUGCUCCGCCUCUUCUGGAAGGUGUUGCCUUCCGUGUCUGUUUAGUAGUUGCGCCUCUCUCUUAUUUUUUUUCCCGCCGCCUUUUUCAUCAUUUUCUUUUGUGCCGAGAGGAAGAAGAGAGGAAGGAGGAGGACGCAACACCAACGCAAAGCCCAAGCAACAGUCAAGGAAUAAAAAAGGAAGCGGGUGGUUGCACAAGGCGCCCCGUGCCGCACUUCAUUUUCAGAGAGAAGAAGUGCGAUCUUGAGUUCUUAGUUGUCCUCCCUUCUCCCUUUCUCGGUGAAAAAGAGACGAAGAAAACACAUCGGCGCAGGAGGAGGAAGAUCGACGUUGUUUCAAUACAAAAGAACCUGAAGACGCGGACCAGCCACGACGAGGAAGAAGAGGUGCGUGCGCAUCGAAGUGGCCAUUGGGGCAGGUCAGAACGUUUGCAGGGCAAGGUGACUUCACGUAUCGGCUGUCUUUGAGUUGUUUUUUUUUUCCUACCGUCUUUCUUUUGUUUUCCGCGCUGCCAUCCACACGCGCCUUUUCAUCCUCGUCGUGUCGAUGCGUUUUGUCUGUCGCACAUUUGCGUGAGUUGAUCGCGUCGCAUCACUCGCCAUCUCCCUUAACUCGCCAGACGGCAUCUCCUUCGCGGACUUUGUCAGUGUCUGCCACUGUCGCUCUCUUUGACCCUCGUUCUCUGGCCAUCUGUUUGUGUCUAUCUAUAUCGAUAUAUAG